rnacentral:misc_RNA from 1 species
ACACCCUCAACCUUCUCGGUUUAUCGACCGGAGAAGGCUUGGACUUUGGAGGUUUUUGUUGCUGGCCUCGUUUGAAGCCAGCUCCUCCUAAAUGAAUUAGUGGGGUCUGUUGUGCCGAUCCUCGACGUGAUAAGUACGCUUCUACGUCUUGGCGUUGGCCUGGAAUCCUGCUUCCAACCGUCUUUGAAUGAAGACAAAUGUUCGAGUUGUGACUCGACCUUAUAAA